GAUGAAGAACGUAGCGAAAUGCGAUACGUAGUGUGAAUUGCAGAAUUCCGUGAAUCAUCGAAUCUUUGAACGCAUAUUGCGCCCACGGCCUCGGCCCAAGGGCAUGCCUGUCUCAGCGUCCGCUCACCCCCUCGCCCUCCCCCUUUCGAUUCGAAAGGGCGGUUUGGACGGAUGUGGCCGUCUCGCUCUCUCUUUUUGAAAGAGCGGUCGGCUGAAGCGCAGGGCUCGCGGCGGGACCCCAUUCGAUCGGGGCGCCAGCAUGGUAGGUGGCUCAACGCUCACAUAUCGGCUGUCGUCUCCCACAUCACCGGGCGCUCCGCCUGCUGCCACAGCAGGAAAACCCCAAUCAAAACCUUGGACCUGAGAUCAGACAAGACCACCCGCUGAACUUAAGCAUAUCAAUAAGCGGAGGA
rnacentral:misc_RNA from 1 species